CCGGCCCUGCCCUGCCCUUGUCUCAGCUGGGCCGGGCCAAGCAGGCUCUGUCACGGGACCAGGCCCCUCUCUAGGGAGCUUGCCAAACCCUGUCCCGGCCAGGCCGGGCCCCAGCAGCGGCCCGGCAGGGGCAUGGGGGCUGUGAGCCCUGGCCCAAACAGGGCUGGGCCGCGGCUGUUACCAUCUUGCCACCAGGUCCCCUUCCCCCAGCGCGGCCACCGCACUAGAUCGUGCGACUGAGACCAGAGGCAGCCUGCAGCCCGUGCAGAGUGGUCCUGUGACUGGAAUUGAACGCAGCAAAAACCAAAGACCAGCCAUGCAGCACCCAUGACACAGCCGCAGCCGCAGCUCCUGCCGCAAGCACUGGGUGACCAUCUGCAUGCCCCGGGCGAGAUGUUAACUCUUUCAGUGCUUCAAACCUCCCUUGAAUGAGAGAAAGGAACAAGAUGCAAGCAUGUAAAGGAGCAACAUGAAGACACCAAGCAUAGAGCAAUUGCUAAGAGCUUUAGCAGAUGUCUGCUGGAACUGUCUGGAGCCACAGAAGUAAGCAGCAACAUUUUACUUUAGCCUGAUCUACCUGCUCGUUGUUUUGAUGCUCCUCAUUAGCCAGACUCCUGGGGACAUGGGCAUCUACGUUUUCAGGUAGCUUCUCUACCCAAGUGGCAAUGUCUUUCCACUCAUCAGCAGCCCAGACUGGUUUUCCCCCACGCUGCCAGUUGGCCUUUUUCCCCCUUUCCAGCCCACAGAGCA